UACAGAGGUCCCAAGCGUUACUGAGAAUCACUGGGUUUAAAGGGUGCGUAGGUGGUCCGUUAAGUCAGUUGUGAAAUCCCCGGGCUCAACCCGGGAACUGCUUCUGAUACUGGCGGACUUGAGGCCAGUAGGGGUCACUAGAACUGACGGUGGAACGGUGAAAUGCGUAGAUAUCGUCAGGAAUGCCGGUGGUGAAGACGGGUGACUGGGCUGGUUCUGACACUGAGGCACGAAAGCGUGGGGAGCGAACGGG
rnacentral:rRNA from 1 species